CCGAAGGGGUGGACUCUAAGGAUGCCAUUGCUUUCACCGUGGUUCGUUGCAGCUGGAUUCGUGCCGCAGGUAUUGGGAUAUGGAGAGACAACAUCGACCCAGCGGCCUAGAGAUCUCAUCUCUAUCCCGUUGCUUUCUAUGAUCUAUUUAUCUUUGUAGAGUUUAAUAUGCUCUCGUUCAUGAGAAUUGAUCUUCUAAAUUGGUAAUUGAUGAGAAAG
rnacentral:lncRNA from 1 species